rnacentral:rRNA from 1 species
GACGAACGCUGGCGGCGUGCUUAACACAUGCAAGUCGAGCGGUAAGGCCCUUUCGGGGUACACGAGCGGCGAACGGGUGAGUAACACGUGGGUGACCUGCCCUCAGCUCUGGGAUAAGCCUGGGAAACCGGGUCUAAUACUGGAUAUGACUCCAUGACGCAUGUUGUGAGGUGGAAAGCCUUGUGCGGCUGAGGAUGGGCCCGCGGCCUAUCAGCUUGUU